CCUGUGUAUGGAUGGUGUUCAGCACCAAGGACAGGUAUGUUUUCCUGUGUUUGUAUGGUGUUCAGCACCAAGGACAGGUGUGUUUUGCU
rnacentral:pre_miRNA from 1 species